ACUAGACACGGAUUUUCGAAAUAAUUAUAGUGUCAUAAUAACAACAUAUUAUAAUAUGAUGAACCUAUUGUCUUACGUUUUUGAGCAUUUUAUAAAGCCAACCAAAUGUUAACCACAUAAAAACUAACAAGACACGAAAAUUAGAAACAGCUAUAAAUAGCACGAAAAUUGCCAGAAAUACAGAUGUUACGUGAAUGAAAUAUUCCCGUUAUCCCGAUUUUUUUUCUCGACUAUAACAUACUGCAAGGAAAACCAAAGAAUGAUCUUCCCAACGCAUUAUUUAGACAACAUUUUCUAUGUCCCUAAAGUCGACGAUUAGAACAAGAAUUCUGGCCUAAAAGUUGAUUGGACAGAAAACAAAACCGCACGCAUA